rnacentral:tRNA from 1 species
GGGUCCUGGAGUAUAUAUUACGUUGAAUUGCAAAUUCGAAAAAGCAGCUUAAAUGUUGCCGGGGCUU